GACGAACGCUGGCGGCGUGCUUAACACAUGCAAGUCGAACGGUAAGGCCCUUCGGGGUACACGAGUGGCGAACGGGUGAGUAACACGUGGGUGAUCUGCCCUGCACUUCGGGAUAAGCUUGGGAAACUGGGUCUAAUACCGGAUAGGACCACGGUCUGCAUGGAUUGUGGUGGAAAGCUUUGCGGUGUGGGAUGGGCCCGCGGCCUAUCAGCUUGUUGGUGGGGUGAUGGCCUACCAAGGCGACGACGGGUAGCCGGCCUGAGAGGGUGUCCGGCCACACUGGGACUGAGAUACGGCCCAGACUCCUACGGGAGGCAGCAGUGGGGAAUAUUGCACAAUGGGCGCAAGCCUGAUGCAGCGACGCCGCGUGGGGGAUGACGGCCUUCGGGUUGUAAACCUCUUUCAGCAGGGACGAAGGGUGACUGACGGUACCUGUAGAAGAAGCACCGGCCAACUACGUG
rnacentral:rRNA from 1 species